rnacentral:rRNA from 1 species
GACGAACGCUGGCGGCGUGCUUAACACAUGCAAGUCGAACGAAGAGCGAUGGAAGCUUGCUUCUAUCAAUCUUAGUGGCGAACGGGUGAGUAACGCGUAAUCAACCUGCCCUUCAGAGGGGGACAACAGUUGGAAACGACUGCUAAUACUGCAUACGAUCUAAUCUCGGCAUCGAGGAUAGAUGAAAGGUGGCCUCUACAUGUAAGCUAUCACUGAAGGAGGGGAUUGCGUCUGAUUAGUUAGUUGGAGGGGUAACGGCCCACCAAGGCGAUGAUCAGUAGCCGGUCUGAGAGGAUGAACGGCCACAUUGGGACUGAGACACGGCCCAGACUCCUACGGGAGGCAGCAGUGGGGAAUCUUCCGCAAGGGACGAAAGUCUGACGGAGCAACGCCGCGUGAGUGAUGACGGCCGUCGGGUUGUAAAGCUCGGUUAAUCGGGACGAAAGGCCUUCUUGCGAACAGUUAGAAGGAUUGACGGUACCGGAAUAGAAAGCCACGGCUAACUACGUG